UCUCUGCCCCUCCCUGCUUGCACUCCCUCAAAAAUAAAUAAAAAUAUUAAAAAAAAAAAAAAGCUUGGUAUGCAUCCUUUCAGACUCUUACAACACAGAUGUUACAUAUACAACUGCAACUAAAAAUAUUUAUAUAAUUUAACACAUUUUAAAUAAGAUGGGUUCACAAUAUUUAUACUAUUUUGCAAACUGUGUCUUUUUCUUUCUUUUCUGCAGAAAAGAAUUAACACAACAAGCCUGAGGUUAUUGUCUUUAGAAGGGCCAACUUACAAGGCUGACCUGUAGCUGGUAUCUAGGAACUUGGCACUCCAACCAUUCCCUAAAUGGGGAAGGGGAACUUUUUCAAAAUUAUAUGGACUAGGGUGAGGACCACCACCUGGCUGGCUUCUGUACAGAACAUGAAAUGGUGCCGGCAGCACCCGAUCAUUACCCAUGCCACGCAGAAAACAGGUACCUCUGAAGGAUUUUAAGCAGGAGGAUGAUGGAAUCAAAAUCAAGUGCUCCAUGAAACGACCCCCGAGGGCAGGGGACACCUGGGUGGCUCAGUUGGUUAAGCAUCGGAC